GGUCCCUGGGGUGGUAGUGGUGGGUGUCGUGGUCCCUGUGGUGGUAGAGAUGGGGGUGUGUGGUCUUGUAGUGGUAGAUGUGGGUGUCGUGGUCCCUGGGGUGGUUGAGGUGGGUGUCGUGGUCCCUGUUGGGGUAGUGGUGGGUGUCGUGGUCCCUGGGGUGGUAGUGGUGGGGGUCGUGGUCCCUGUGGUGGUUGAGGUGGGUGUCAUGGUCCCUGUUGGGGUAGUGGUGGGUGUCGUGGUCCCUGUGGUGGUUGAGGUGGGUGUUGUGGUCCCUGGGGUGGUUGAGGUGGGUGUCGUGGUCCCUGUGGUGGUAGAGGUGUGUGUCGUGGUCCCUGGGGUGGUAGUGGUGGGUGUCGUGGUCCCUGUGGUGGUAGAGAUGGGGGUGUGUGGUCUUGUAGUGGUAGUGGUGGGUGUCGUGGUCCCUGGAGUGGUUGAGGUGGGUGUCGUGGUCGCUGUGGUGGUAGAGAUGGGGGUGUGUGGUCUUGUAGUGGUAGAUGUGGGUGUCGUGGUCCCUGUGGUGGUCGAGGUGGGGGUCGGGGUCCCUGGGGUGGUGGACGUGGGUGUUGUGGUCUCUGUUGAGGUAGAGGUGGUAACUGUGGUCCCUGUGGUGGUCGAGGUGGGGGUCGGGGUCUUGGUGCUGGUCCUGGUGGUUGAAGUGGGCGUGGAAGUCAGUGCAGUGGUGGGUGGCUGGCUGGUACCUGGCGUCAUGCUGGCGGUGGGAGCACAUGAGCAGCAGUAAACGUUGAUUUCAUAGUUGAGGCAGGUGGGGAUCAGGGAGCCCGCUGCUAGCUCUUGCUCGCGGUUCCGGCACACCAGCCCGACACCGGUGUUGCACAGCACCUUCUGUCCCAGGUCUCUGAUUGGCACGUUGGGGUACUUCGUGGCUCUACAGGAAACGUUGACUAUCCAGCCAUGACAGGUUCCUACAAGGGACUCUACGUCACCACCCCCUGGAUUGCCAGGAUCAGGUUGGUUCUUGUCGUUCCAGCCAGUCCAAUAACAGUUAGGCACACACGUGGUUGACGGGGUCGUCGUGGCCGUGGCUGUUGACUCUGAAGUGGGCGUCACUGUGGGUGAUGUGGUUGUCACUGAGGUAGUGGAGCUCGUUG
rnacentral:lncRNA from 1 species